rnacentral:rRNA from 1 species
CCUACGGGUGGCAGCAGUGGGGAAUAUUGGACAAUGGGCGAAAGCCUGAUCCAGCCAUGCCGCGUGUGUGAAGAAGGCCUUCGGGUUGUAAAGCACUUUCAGUGGGGAAGAAAGCCUUGGGGCUAAUACCCUCGAGGAAGGACAUCACCCACAGAAGAAGCACCGGCUAACUCCGUGCCAGCAGCCGCGGUAAUACGGAGGGUGCGAGCGUUAAUCGGAAUUACUGGGCGUAAAGCGCGCGUAGGCGGUCUGAUAAGCCGGGUGUGAAAGCCCCGGGCUCAACCUGGGAACGGCAUCCGGAACUGUCAGGCUAGAGUGCAGGAGAGGAAGGUAGAAUUCCCGGUGUAGCGGUGAAAUGCGUAGAGAUCGGGAGGAAUACCAGUGGCGAAGGCGGCCUUCUGGACUGACACUGACGCUGAGGUGCGAAAGCGUGGGUAGCAAACAGGAUUAGAUACCCCAGUCGUC